GGAAGAAAGAGAGAGAGAGGGGAUGGGAAAGAAGAAAGAGAGAGGGGGCAGAGAGAGGGGGAGGGGAAGAAAGAGAGAGAGAGAGGGGGCAGAGAGUGGGGAAGAAAGAGAGAGAGAUUCCAUGUGAAACAGCAUUCCAGUGUGUUCAAUAGGUAAUGAGCUUUAGAUGUGCCAGUCUUGAGGCAGGGCCCAGUGUUCUCUAUUUCUUCCUACUUGUCUGUUCUUUGGCUCUUUUCUCACCUGUGUCCAUCGUGUACUUCUCCUAUCCUAGAUUUCUCCGUCUUUUAUCUCUCAAUGAAUCCACAUACUUCAGUAUGCAUGUGUGACAUUAAGUCACUCAGUGACGCAGUGUGACAUGGAGAUGGCAGACUUCUUUAAAAGGAGCCGGUGGCAUUAGGGGGCUGGGCAUUCUCAGUCUGGCCAAUGACUGGUCCGGAGGCGCAAGUAACUCUGACAUAUUUGUGAAUGGGGAGGCUUGGAAGAGGACACUCAUUGAGAAAACUAGGGGAGUUGGUUUUCCGUGUAGCAACUGACCCAGAGACAGUGCCAUGAUCUCAAGUACAGAGCAAUCAUAUUGUGUUGCAUCUGACUCUUGAUCCUUCAUUGUGUCAGUGUUUUAAUCAAAUAAAUGAAUACAAUUCAUCUACAGUAGUUCUGUCAAAAUUUGUUUGGCCAUCAGGUGACCGAGUGGCGGUUUUCCAUUGGUUCUUCCUGUGCUGCGUUUCUGCAGUAUGUUGCCAUGGAAACCUGGAGCCAAGGGUACUUGGCUGUUCAAAGUGGAGGAGUGGAGGAGUUAUGUGUGUGUGUGUGUAGAGAUGGAUUUUUAAAAGUAAAACACUGCCCCUAUGGGGAGGGAAACAGUAAAACACUGCUCCUAUGGGGAGGGAAACAGUAAAACACUGCUCCUAUGGGGGGGAAACAGUAAAACACUGCUCCUAUGGGGAGGGAAACAGUAAAACACUGCUCCUAUGGGGAGGGAAACAGUAAAACACUGCCCUAUGGGGAGGGAAACAGUAAAACACUGCCCCUAUGGGGAGGGAAACAGUAAAACACUGCCCCUAUGGGGAGGGAAACAGUAAAACACUGCUCCUAUGGGGAGGGAAACAGUUAAACACUGCCCUAUGGGGAGGGAAACAGUUAAACACUGCCCCUAUGGGGAGGGAAACAGUAAAACACUGCCCCUAUGGGGAGGGAAACAGUAAAACACUGCUCCUAUGGGGAGGGAAACAGUAAAACACUGCCCCUAUGGGGAGGGAAACAGUUAAACACUGCCCUAUGGGGAGGGAAACAGUAAAACACUGCUCCUAUGGGGAGGGAAACAGUAAAACACUGCUCCUAUGGGGAGGGAAACAGUAAAACACUGCCCUAUGGGGAGGGAAACAGUAAAACACUGCUCCUAUGGGGGGGAAACAGUAAAACACUGCUCCUAUGGGGAGGGAAACAGUAAAACACUGCUCCUAUGGGGAGGGAAACAGUAAAACACUGCCCCUAUGGGGAGGGAAACAGUAAAACACUGCUCCUAUGGGGAGGGAAACAGUAAAACACUGCUCCUAUGGGGAGGGAAACAGUAAAACACUGCCCCUAUGGGGAGGGAAACAGUAAAACACUGCUCCUAUGGGGAGGGAAACAGUAAAACACUGCUCCUAUGGGGAGGGAAACAGUAAAACACUGCCCCUAUGGGGAGGGAAACAGUAAAACACUGCUCCUAUGGGGAUGGAAACAGUUAAACACUGCCCCUAUGGGGAGGGAAACAGUAAAACACUGCCCCUAUGGGGAGGGAAACAGUAAAACACUGCCCCUAUGGGGAGGGAAACAGUAAAACACUGCCCCUAUGGGGAGGGAAACAGUAAAACACUGCUCCUAUGGGGAGGGAAACAGUAAAACACUGCCCCUAUGGGGAGGGAAACAGUAAAACACUGCUCCUAUGGGGAUGGAAACAGUUAAACACUGCUCCUAUGGGGAGGGAAACAGUAAAACACUGCCCCUAUGGGGAGGGAAACAGUAAAACACUGCCCCUAUGGGGAGGGAAACAGUAAAACACUGCCCCUAUGGGGAGGGAAACAGUAAAACACUGCUCCUAUGGGGAGGGAAACAGUAAAACACUGCCCCUAUGGGGAGGGAAACAGUAAAACACUGCCCCUAUGGGGAGGGAAACAGUAAAACACUGCCCCUAUGGGGAGGGAAACAGUAAAACACUGCUCCUAUGGGGAGGGAAACAGUUAAACACUGCUCCUAUGGGGAGGGAAACAGUAAAACACUGCCCCUAUGGGGAGGGAAACAGUAAAACACUGCCCCUAUGGGGAGGGAAACAGUAAAACACUGCUCCUAUGGUGAGGGAAACAGUUAAACACUGCCCCUAUGGGGAGGGAAACAGUUAAACACUGCUCCUAUGGGGAGGGAAACAGUAAAACACUGCUCCUAUGGGGAGGGAAACAGUAAAACACUGCCCCUAUGGGGAGGGAAACAGUAAAACACUGCCGCUAUGGGGAGGGAAACAGUUAAACACUGCCCUAUGGGGAGGGAAACAGUAAAACACUGCUCCUAUGGGGAGGGAAACAGUAAAACACUGCCCCUAUGGGGAGGGAAACAGUAAAACACUGCCCUAUGGGGAGGGAAACAGUAAAACACUGCUCCUAUGGGGAGGGAAACAGUAAAACACUGCUCCUAUGGGGAGGGAAACAGUAAAACACUGCUCCUAUGGGGAGGGAAACAGUUAAACACUGCCCUAUGGGGAGGGAAACAGUAAAACACUGCUCCUAUGGGGAGGGAAACAGUAAAACACUGCCCUAUGGGGAGGGAAACAGUUAAACACUGCCCUAUGGGGAGGGAAACAGUAAAACACUGCUCCUAUGGGGAGGGAAACAGUUAAACACUGCCCCUAUGGGGAGGGAAACAGUAAAACACUGCUCCUAUGGGGAGGGAAACAGUAAAACACUGCUCCUAUGGGGAGGGAAACAGUAAAACACAGUAAAACAGUAAAAC
rnacentral:lncRNA from 1 species